rnacentral:tRNA from 1 species
AAGGGAGACCUAAUUCAGGUAGGAGACGAAAAAAAAGUAGUCCCUACCAAGAAUCAAUCCCAAAAGGUCGGAGCGAGGCAAAAUUGGCUUUCAAACUAGGUUCUGGGUUCACACAAGACCUGAAUCAGGAACAAGGGCUAUUAGCUCAGGUGGUUAGAGCGCACCCCUGAUAAGGGUGAGGUCCCUGGUUCGAGUCCAGGAUGGCCCACCUGUACAGGUGGCAAAAACAAAGAAAAGAAGCGAGGAAUCAGCACCUUAUCUUACUUAUAUAGUAAGAGAGAAUGCUGGCUCUGAGUACAGAGUCCAGAGGAACCUUGAAAACUGCAUAGAGCUAGGUGAAAAAGCCAAAAAAGAAGACCGCAA